rnacentral:rRNA from 1 species
GACGAACGCUGGCGGCGUGCCUAAUACAUGCAAGUAGAACGCACAGUUUAUACCGUAUCUUGCUACACCAUAGACUGUGAGUUGCGAACGGGUGAGUAACGCGUAGGUAACCUGCCUGGUAGCGGGGGAUAACUAUUGGAAACGAUAGCUAAUACCGCAUAAUAUUAAUUAUUGCAUGAUAAUUAAUUGAAAGGUGCAAUUGCACCACUACUAGAUGGACCUGCGUUGUAUUAGCUAGUAGGUGAGGUAACGGCUCACCUAGGCGACGAUACAUAGCCGACCUGGGGGGGUGAUCGGCCACACUGGGACUGGGACACGGCCCAGAAUCCUACGGGAGGCAGCAGUAGGGAAACUUCGGCAAUGGGCGAAAAUCUGACCGCGCAACGCCGCGUGAGUGAAGAAGGGUUUCGGAUCGUAAAGCUCUGUUGUAAGAGAAGAACGGGUGUGAGAGUGGAAAGUUCACACUGUGACGGUAUCUUACCAGAAAGGGACGGCUAACUACGUG